GGGUGUAUGGUCUAGUGGUAUGAUUUUCGCUUUGCAUUGGCUCUUCAAUGAUUGUGAACGGUCCCCGGUUCGAUCCCGGGUGCAUCCA